ensembl:lncRNA LINC01522 long intergenic non-protein coding RNA 1522
AACCAGGGGCAGUUGUCCCCUCCGGGGAACACUUGCUAAUGUCUGGACACAGUUUUGGUUGUCACGACUAGGCUGGUGAUGCUGGAGCCACAACAACCACCGGAAACCCCAAGGCGAAGACCAGAGAAUCCCAGAGAUGCAGACAGAGACUUCCUAGAGCUACAGAGGACAACCAGAGGCCUAUUUAUCUCAUGAUGGAAGGCAGGAGAACAAGCAGGCAAGACCAGCUGUGCUAGCACAUGCCACCUCUUUGCCCACGUCACACCUGCUGACGUCCCAUUGGCCAAUGCAAGUCACACAACCAAAGCCAACAUCAACAGGACAAGGAAACAGACUCUGCCUCUAGAUGCACAAACUACAGAGUCACGGACAGAGGACACGGAUCCAGGGAAGGAAGAUGGAGAAUGAGAACAAUGACCCUCAAUAACACAGCCUCCCACAGGUUUCCAAAUCCCCAACCCAGGCAUAUAUCCAAGGAAAUGGAAUCAUGGGUUCAGGUUUUAGAGCAAGCAAUUUCUGCUCUCCCUGCCUAGUUUCCACACCCUUAACACAGGGGCAAUGAUGUCACAUCAAAACAUAUCAUACAAAUUUGUGAUGAUGUUUCAACAACUAAACACCAGAAAAAUGCUUAGGGCAGGGCCGGGUAGGAGGGGCAGAAGCCAAUAGUAACUUAACAUCACUGCUAACCCACAAAGUUCUGGGAAUUUCUUUGAAUGUCUAAUUAGAGAACCAUGUCCCCAAGAAUUAACAUUUCUUUUGCUUUUUUUUGAAUCUGAGAAAAUACUAAUUGUCACAGGGUAGAAUAUUUAUCUGAUGAGCAUAUAGAAGUUAAGGGCUCCUUGAAAUCACAGUGCUAGGUUUGGGUCUCAUUCCUCCUCCUACCUGCCUCUCUGAGCCUCAGUUUCUCAUCUGUAGAAUGGGUACAAUCCCAACCUCAUGUGUUUGUGGCAGUCAGGGUUAAUUGGGCUAAUGAUUCUAAAGUGCUCUGCGCAGGCCUGGCAGGUACUGAGCAACCUUGGGCCAUAGAGAGAGCACUGACUUGGGAGUCAGGAGCUGGGACCUCAGGUCCUAUUCCCUGGGGAUCCGGGAAAAGUCCCUUGGCUUCCCUGAGCUUCAUCUGCCCCACGUGCUAGUGAGGUGGCUAGACCAGUCAGGCCAAGGACGUCCCUGCAGCUAUCUAACUUCUCCUUACUCCCUGUUCAGCAAAGGGCAGGAGCUGGGCCUGGCCAGGCUCCCACAAAGCCCAGGCGUGGCCGUGCUCAGCUCACGACGGGUGUGGGGGAUGCGUUUCUGCCCUCAAAGGACUGAGCUCCAGUUUCUUUCUUCACUGAGUCCUUUACUCUCUGCCUGCGGGUGGUUAUUUAAGACAUCUCCUGCCUGCAGGGGCCUCUUAGAGAACAAACAGAUCGUUCCUUCAGCUGCAGUGCAGGCUUUACUGGGCUUGUUCCUGCAUCAAGUAGACAGAUCCUUCCUGAAUGGAGUCGCCCCACAGGCCCCACACUCGGAGAGGGGCAGCCAGGAGCCUCCGAGGCUCUGCCCAGCCCGUCCUGAAUGUGCUCCCUGCCCUGAGUGGAGCGCUCACAGCUCCCCGCAUCAAGGUUUCUGUCUCCCCAAGGAUCUUCCUCAUAAAAACCCUUCUUCUCCCAGAUCCCACAAACCGACAUUAUAAAAAACACAAACACCCAAUAAGCACCAUGUAAAUUGAUCACAUACAAAUAAUAUCCAAAAAUAAGAA